rnacentral:rRNA from 1 species
AUUGAACGCUGGCGGCAGGCCUAACACAUGCAAGUCGAACGAGUGGCGGACGGGUGAGUAAUGUCUGGGAAACUGCCUGAUGGAGGGGGAUAACUACUGGAAACGGUAGCUAAUACCGCAUACCAUCAGAGGGGCCCAGAGGGAAUUAGUUAGUUGGUGGGGUAACGGCUCACCAAGGCGACGAUCCCUAGCUGGGCUGAGAGGAGGACCAGCCACCCUGGAACUGAGACACGGUCCAGACGCCUACGUGAGGCAGCAGUGGGGAAUAUUGCACAAUGGGCGCAAGCCUGAUGCAGCCAUGCCGCGUGUAUGAAGAAGGCCUUCGGGUUGUAAAGUACUUUCAGCGGGGAGGCGUUACCCGCAGAAGAAGCACCGGCUAACUCCGUGCCAGCAGCCGCGGUAAUUC